AGAGUUUGAUCCUGGCUCAGGACGAACGCUGGCGGCGUGCCUAAGACAUGCAAGUCGAACGGGACCUUCGGGUCUAGUGGCGAACGGCGGAGUAAUACAUAAGUAACUUGCCUCGAAGAUCGGGAUAGCCGCGGGAAACUGCGAGUAAUACCGGAUGUGACGAGUGGGGGGCAUCCCCUGCUCAUUAAAUGGUUUUUCGCUUCGAGAGCGGCUUAUGACACAUCAGCUAGUUGGUGGGGUAAAGGCCUACCAAGGCGACGACGUGUAGGGGGUCUGAGAGGAUGAUCCCCCCGAGUGGGACUGAGACACGGCCCACACACCUACGGGUGGCAGCAGUUGGGAAUCUUGCACAAUGGGGGAAACCCUGAUGCAGCGACGCCGCGUGGAGGAAGAAGGGUCUAGGCUCGUAAACUCCUUUUUCAGGGAAAGACUUAGGACGGUACCCUGAGAAUAAGCUCCGGCUAACUACGUGCCAGCAGCCGCGGUAAGACGUAGGGAGCGAGCGUUGUCCGGAUUUACUGGGCGUAAAGAGCACGUAGGCGGUCUGUUAAGUGAGAAGUGAAAUCUCCAGCGCUCAACGCGGAAACGGCUUUUCAUACUGGCAGACUUGAGGGAUGCAGAGGCAAGUAGAAUUCCUGGUGUACCGGUGACAUGGGUUGAUAUCAUGAGGAAUACCAAUGGCGAAGGCAGCUUGCUGGGCAUCAUCUGACGCUGAGGUGCGAAAGCGUGGGUAGCAAACAGGAUUAGAUACCCUGGUAGUCCACGCCCUAAACGAUGGAUACUAGGCGUAUGGGGUAUCGACCCCCCAUGUGCCGUAGCUAACGCAUUAAGUAUCCCGCCUGGGGAGUACGGCCGCAAGGUUGAAACUCAAAUGAAUUGACGGGGACCCGCACAAGCGGUGGAGCAUGUGGAUUAAUUCGAUACUAACCGAAGAACCUUACCUAGGCUUGACAUCGAGGGAAAGCUCCCGAAAAGGAGCCCCUGGUCAAAAGCCAGCCCAAAGACACUUGUUGCAUGGCUGUCGUCAGCUCGUGCCGUGAGGUGUUUGGUUAAGUCCAGCAACGAGCGCAACCCUCGUCUUAUGUUGCCAGCGAGUAAUGUCGGGAACUCAUGAGAGACCGCCGGUGUAAACCGGAGGAAGGUGAGGAUGACGUCAAGUCAGCAUGGCAGUUACGCCUAGGGCUUCACACAUGCUACAAUGGACGCAACAGAGGGAAGCAAUACCGCGAGGUGGAGCCAAUCCCAAAAAUACGUCCUCAGUUCAGAUUGUAGUCUGCAACUCGACUACAUGAAGGCGGAAUCGCUAGUAAACGCAGGUCAGCUAUACUGCGUUGAAUACGUUCCCGGGUCUUGUACACACCGCCCGUCAAGUCACCUGAAUUGUCUUCACCCGAAGUCCGUGGCCUAACCCGCAAGGGAGGGAGCGGCCGAAGGUGAGGGGGGUAAGGGGGACUAAGUCGUAACAAGGUAACCGUA
rnacentral:rRNA from 1 species